AUUCCAUGAUGUGGACAUCUCCAUUGAAGAUCCUUGUAUCUCUCCCAUGCUUUAUAAAGACUCUCAUCAUCCCUAAGUCAGAAAGAAGUUAGCUCAUUCCUUAGUUU